UUCAUUCUCACGCAGAGUGAAACGAACCAUAUGACCAGCCAGACAGACCAUUACAGAGAGAAAGCUUUGAUUACAGAGAGAGAGCUUUACUUCAAGAGCAGAGACCAUUAAUUAGGCGAAGACCUCCACAGUUUUAGGGUUCGCUAUCGGAUCCUCUUUUAAAUUUCUAUUCUAACUCUUUCCAAUUUCGUUUUCGGUUCGUUGAGGGGCUUCGUUGAAGUUGUUGUAACAUCCAUCGAGUACAAGAAGAGUGGCCAUCAAAUUUGUUUUUGGAUUGUGGUUUUCUGUUGUUGGUACUCAGAAAUUGAGAUGUAUAACCAGGGGAGUUAUAGUAGUCAGUCUGGGCAGGCUCCUUCUAUGCCCGUGCCACCACCCUUCCAACAGCUUCCUCCUGCUCGGGCACCCCCUCCUCCUCGUCAUCAUCAUCAGUUACAGCAUGGUCCUCUGCCACAUUCAGUAAAUCAACAGGCUCCUCCUCCGGUCCCUUCUCAUGUAGGUCAACCGGGCCCUUCUCCAUAUCGCUAUGGUCCAUCCCCACUACCUACAUUUCCUCGGGUUCCAUCCAGCGGAAUGUUGAAUGCAGGUCAAUCUUAUUUCCAAUACCCUCCACCAGUUCAUGGAGGAACACCAUUGUCACUUGUCUACCCGACAACUCAACAGCACCCUGUUCAACCACCAGUAGCUCCUGCCUAUGGUUUACCGCCACCUCCUAGAGUGUUACUUCCUUCCUCACAAGGUCAAUCCUCAUACAGAGCUCCAGUAUUUCAGUCACCACAGCUGCACAAUGUUGUGCAGGGUUCUCAGCAUAUCACACCUCCUCCUCCUCCUCCUCCUGCUUCUAGUUUAUCUACUUCUGCUUCUUUGCCUUCAAUUGGUUCAACCGGUGGAAACUCUCAGAUGCCUUCCACAGCCCUGCCACCACGGCCACCUCCGCCUUCUUCUUCACCACUGCUUCCACCUCCUCCUCCACCACCACCUACCGCUCCCCUUCCCUCUUCUAUGGCAAUACAUGCUACUCCUAACCUCCCCUCUCUUUCGGACUCUAAUCCAGAUUCAAGUAAACUUUCAGGCUGGAGACUGAAGACAUUAAGUUCUAUCGACGAGAAUUCAGCUUGCAUUGAUGGGAGAGAUAAAUUACCUGAGCAAAGGAGCUAUCUUGAUCAUAACGUUGUAAGUGGAUCUGAAGCAGGAAAUGGCUUUUUGUCCAUGGGCAAUAUGAUUUUAGAUCUUCCUCCACCUCCUCCUAAGCCACAAGAAGAAAAACUUGUUCAGAGAAUUGAGGCUUUAUGCCAGUCUAUUGCCAAGAAUGGUUCUGAUUAUGAAGAUAUGGCUCUUCAAAAUAAAUCCGGGGAUUCAGAAUUUGAAUUUAUGUUUGGUGGCGAGCCAGGAAGUGAAGCUGCUAUUGCUCAUGAUUUUUUUCUUUGGAUGAAAAAGAAAUAUAUGUUGGCUAGAUUAAAUGAAUGGAAAAGUGACUCGUCUUCUAAGACUUUCGCAGUUGAUGAUAAAAAAAUGAUGGUUGUGGUUGGAUUUCAUUCACCUACUGAUUCUGACAUGGAGAUGGAAGAUGAUAUCACCCACCCAGAAACUGUCCAGGUGGUCAAGAACUCAUUUGAAAUUCAAAACUUUGAGUUAGAUUCAGUGUGUAUUGAUUCAAAUGAAAAAGAACGUGCACCACGUAGUUCUGGAGCAUGCGAGCCAGUGCAAGAUGUAUCUGAAAAACUCUCGGUCUCUGUUUACCCAGUACCAGGUGAGCGAGGUUCAGCUAGGGCUCCUGAAUGGUCUCCGGCCGGCAAAGCUGUGAAGUCAUCCUCUCUCAGAGCUGAUAAUAGAAGUCCUUCUGGGGCUUUAGCAGCUGCUGAAGGCAUUGGUUCUGAUAAGCAUACCCAUCAACAUAUAAAUGAUUCCAGUCCAUUUAGACUUCUGCAAGGCUAUGCAUCUGAUGACAGCACAGGAAAUGAAGAUGAGCCCCAUCUUGAAGAUUUAAAUACAGUAUCAUCGACGGUUGAUGCUACAAAUUUGCGUAUAGACUCUGAGUGUAAUCUGAUAACAGAUUUUGGGUCUGAGAGUCCUUGUAAGACUGAAAAACAGUUUCGACUGCCAUCUGGAUCAGCCAUGUCUGGAAAAGCUCCAGAAAUUUCUGCAGGUUCACAAGGAGAAUUUGGAAUAACUACCAGAAAAGAAAAUGCUAGAGGAGCAAUUGAUGAACAUGACGGGACUAUGCUUGAAAAUAGAGCAUCGAUCAAUCGUGUCACUACUUAUGAGGAUAUCCAGAAACAAGAUGUCCAUGGAGGUGCAUGGGCUGAUGGUGCUUCUAGCAGAAAGUUACAUAAUGAAAAUAAGGAUGUAAGUGCAAAGUCGACUCCAACUCUUCCAAAAGUAGAUGAGUUUGGGAGAUUGGUCAGAGAAGGUGCCGGUGCCAGUGACAGUGACUCUGAUGAUUCUCGCCACCGAAGGCAUAGCAAAAGAGGCAGAAGCCGUAGCUGGAGUCGAUCACCUCCUGAUAGGAGGAGACAGCGGCGGUGGAGAAGUCCACAAAGGAGAAGGGAGAGGCGAAGCCGAUCUCGCAGCUGGUCUCCUAGACAUCGAAGAAGUAGGAGCAGGUCUCCCUCUCAUAACCAUGCAGGUGAGUUCAUGGGUGAUCGAGUGAGACGGGACAAAGGUCGAGUCCCAGACUGUUUUGACUUCCGUAGAGGCAGGUGCUACCGUGGAGCGUUAUGUCAAUAUCGACACCAUGAUAUAGACAAGGGUGAUGGAUCUAGGCGCUAUAGGGGCAAACAACAGUACCUGGAAAUGCAUCCUAGCUCAAAGAAUUCUAAUGUUGUAGAAGAGAUCAAGAAUAUUCCUCUAAAAGUGUCAGAUGGUAAGCUUGAAGAAGUCAAUGUGGGUAUGUCUUGUGGCAGUUUUGGUGCUACAAAAGACAGAAACUUUGAGAGUGACGCUCUGCAAUCCUUUGUCCCUCAUACAGCUGGUCAAGUAAUUGAUUCUGAUGUAACUAAGUGCGAUAGUUCUAAAGAGGGUGCUGCUAAAAUGCCAGAGAGACAAAGGGUUCUAGAAGAGCCAAAAGAGGAUAUCAUGCACCGCAGUAACAGUUUUAAGGAAGCAAUGGAAUGUGGUAACCCAUUUGUGGAUGAUAAUAUUCCCUCUAAACCUGAAGGAAGUGCUGAUACUGUGAAUUCACAUGAUGAAGCGUCUCAAGAUGGAGUUUGUCCUUUGAAAUUUUCCGCAAUUCAACAACCUCAACCAAAUCUUUCAGGUGGAAGGGUUCAGAAUGUUGAUCAUCCUGAGAAAGAUAACUCAUCUACAUCUGAUUCAUCACCCGAUCGAACAUCAUCGACUGCCUGUAAUAAUCCUACUGAGAGUGAUAUUCCAAUUGAAACAGAAAAUCUACAUCUUUGUGCCCAGUUGCCCCCUCCUCCACCUCAGCUCCCAUUUUCACAGGGCGUGAAUACUCCUCAUAUGGCACAACCACUAAGUGGUUAUAAUUUAAUGCUGCAGGAAACUACAAUUUCUUCUGCAUCUGCUCCUGGUAAAAGUUUUCCUUAUAUGUUACCCAGUCAACAAUCGUUCUUCUCCGCACCUUCAACUUCCCUGCCGCCACCUCCCCCAAUAUUUCCACCUCAUAAUUCAAAUGUAGAAAGUACAACCCCGGUUGUUUCUUCACAAUUUCAGCAGGCUCAGUUACCUUCAAGAAAUAACAGUGGUUCUCAAACUUUCUCGAGACCCUACAUGAACGAGUUGGCUACUUAUUCUAAAGUUGGUGAAUUUCCGCAUGGAGCUUAUGCUGCUACACGUGAGUCUCAUCAACCUUUCUUGCAUUCAGAAGAUUUUAGACUGAAGAAUCCUCCAGUUUUUAACCUGCCACAUCAACAAUUUGGAGGCCCUGGUCUUUUGAGAGAACGUACCAUGGCACAGCUUCCGGUGCAGGGUUUUUGUACUUCAAGUUCCUUGUCUCAGAGUAACAAUCACCCCCAGGCGACUGCUUUUUCGCAAGAAUUUCAUGCAACCAAUUUUCCUGGUAUUCGUAUGCCUCAGUUUGGCCUUUCAACCUCAACUCCUCAUAUUCAUCCUUACUCUCAGGAACAACUGCCACCUCAUGGUUUACACCACUCCAUGGCGGAUAAUGUGAAUAAGCUGCCGGGAAAAGUCAGUUCUUCAUCUACAUAUGCACCAGAUCAUCUGGACAUGAAUAAGUCAGUCUACCAGCCUGAUUUUGGAUCAAGAACUACUGCUCACUAUAAUCCUUAUGCAUCUACAUUUGAACAGCCACUUUUCUCCAAAUUCAAUUCGAAAUUUUUCGGACAAGAAAAGGAUUCAGUUGAUGGGCAAGGGAUUGGCAGUGCUGGGUUGAGACACGAAGCUUCGUCACCAAAGUCUGGUGGAGAUGUUGGACAGAACUUUUCCAGGUCUGGUGGUGACCGGAAUGAUCCUCAUUCUGACAGCAUUGAGCCGUCUUCGUACUCAUUUAAUAAAUCAGGACAUGUUCACAAGCGGGAAUCUACCAUUGACCGUGACGUUGUGUUGAGGCUCAUUGAUCCCAACAGGCCAUUGGAUGUGGAAGAAAACAACAAGAAAGAAGCCAGUGCAGUUGUUUUUGCAACAUCUUUUGAUAAUGAGGAGUUUGGAGAGACAGCAGAUGCCGAGGUAGGUGCUGUUGAAAAUGCAAGCCCAAGUGAUCCUACAGGCAAUGUGACAGCGGGUGAUGUUGAACUUGAUCAAAUCAAGUCCCCAGGGAAGAGCAAGAAGAGCAAAGGGUCAAGAUCUAUGAGUCUUUUUAAAGUCGCUAUUGCAGAUUUUGUGAAGGAGGUUCUAAAGCCAUCAUGGCGACAGGGUAAUAUGAGCAAGGAAGCAUUUAAGACGAUUGUCAAGAAGACUGUUGAUAAGGUGUCGGGAGCUAUGAAGAGCCAUCAGAUACCCAAGUCUCAGGCAAGGAUAAAUCAGUACAUUGACUCAUCGCAGCGAAAGCUAACAAAGCUUGUGAUGGGCUAUGUUGAUAAGUAUGUUAAAGCAUAAAAGUAGACUGUUGACGUCCGUUGAUAAGCUGCUCUUUGAUGAUAGAAGAUUUUGAUUAAAUCUGUAUGUUUCCCUAUCUUUCGAAACUAUCUUUAUAUGUUGUUGCAGAAGUGUAACUCACUCUUUUUGGCCGCAGACCGAUAAAGAAAGUUGUGAAAAUAACUAGAAUGUUGAUUUUCUGUCAAGUCUCUAUACCUGCUAGCUAAAGGGUGCAUGGGAAGAUGAAUUUUAUUGUGAGAGAGUUAAUCUUAGCAAAAUUCUAAGUGAGCUCGAAACAUGUUUGUUGCCGUAUUGGUAAAUUUGCGUGGAUUAAUGAUUGAAAGUAUGCGUAGCUUUUUUAUGCCUGAAUUUUAAAAGAUGUCCCUCCGUUAAGUUGAGCAAGGAUCUGUAGAUCUUACUUCUGGGGUACCAGGAUCUCUUAUUGGAUGUUGUUGAUACUUCUUGACAUGGAGCUCAUCAGCCAAGUUUGUUAAGGGGCUUAGAGUAUAUGACUGUGGAACGACGUAUAAUUAUUCGUUGAUGGAGCUCAUGAAAAGCCGAGGAUAAAACAAAGCGCAAUCUUCUUACCAUCUCCUGCUGCUGAUCCAGUUAUUUCCACUCAGAUUUGUCAUUUGAAGAUGGAAAUAGAAGAGCCUUAAAGAUACCAAAUAGAUUUUUAUCUUUUGAAGAUAGUUACUUGCAUGUAAGUACUGGUACAGUGAUGCUCAAUGUAAUGGAUGUUUUGGAUUAUAUAUGUUUGAACUUUGAAAUGUUAUAUAUCUUGUUUAGUUGUCUUCAAA